rnacentral:rRNA from 1 species
CCUACGUGAGGCUGCAGUGGGGAAUAUUGGACAAUGGGCGAAAGCCUGAUCCAGCCAUGCCGCGUGUGUGAAGAAGGCCUUCGGGUUGUAAAGCACUUUCAGUGGGGAAGAAAGCCUUGGGGCUAAUACCCUCGAGGAAGGACAUCACCCACAGAAGAAGCACCGGCUAACUCCGUUCCAGCAGCCGCGUUAAUACGGAGGGUGCGAGCGUUAAUCGGAAUUACUGGGCGUAAAGCGCGCGUAGGCGGUCUGAUAAGCCGGUUGUGAAAGCCCCGGGCUCAACCUGGGAACGGCAUCCGGAACUGUCAGGCUAGAGUGCAGGAGAGGAAGGUAGAAUUCCCGGUGUAGCGGUGAAAUGCGUAGAGAUCGGGAGGAAUACCAGUGGCGAAGGCGGCCUUCUGGACUGACACUGACGCUGAGGUGCGAAAGCGUGGGUAGCAAACAGGAUUAGAUACCCGAGUAGUC